rnacentral:misc_RNA from 1 species
GUUUUGGUGACUAGAGAUCUCAGUUGGUAGAACACUUGGUGGCUGAUUUACAUGGUGGAUCUUGUUGACAUCUAUUGUUCUUCUAAUGCAAUUUGCAUUUUUUUUUCUGGAGUUUCAACAUAUUUGAGUUUGUCCUCCAACCUCUAUUAGUAUAUUUAUUUAUUAAUGCCUUCUUUUUGGGUAUCAUUACUUUAAUACCAUUACGCUGCUACUCCAUCAAUUGCUUCUCCUUUGAAAUGACUUUAUGUGGCUUAGAAAUUAAUUUAUGGAUUUAAUAUUGGCUUCUUAUUACCUAAGUUAUUUCCUUAGGUACAUGAAGUUCUGAAAUUGC